rnacentral:lncRNA from 1 species
CGGCCUAAAAUGAUCUCCUGAACCCCGAUCCGAAGCCCCAAAAAUAACCAAAAACACUCUCUAAACUUAAGAAAAGGAUGAGGAAACCUUCGUUCCCCUCAGAUCUGGUGCCGAAGACGGAGAGUCACCCUCCGACGACGCGAUCACGGGAUGACUCCGGUGAGUAUCCCUUCCUCCUUUUUGAUUUUAUUUUAAUGUAUAAAAUAAACAAAAAAAUAAAAAAUAAAAGACGAAAAAAAUGAUGUAAAUCUGAAAAAAAAACUUUUAGAAACGUGUUUCUGUUUCUUUUAUUUUCUUAAUGUUUGUCAAAAGCCCCCCUCUUUUACAACGUAUUCGGCUUUUGCCGAAAGAAAAGAAGAAAACAUAAAGAAAAAAAACCAUUACAGUUGAGGCCCCCCCAUUGAUAUUACAUUUGUUUGGGUUUUAUAAAAGAAAAAUAUUUGCUCCUAUUUGUUUCUUCUUUCAUGUUGCUUGCAGGUAUUUGGCGAAGGCAGAGGCGUGGCUUGCCAUUUUGGUGUAAGGCCGACUGGCGAUGGCAGGCCUCGGGCGUGGUGUGCGCUGAAGGCGCACAUGGGAGCAGCGGCGCGAGGCAAGGGCUAGGGUUAGGUUUUUUACUGAAAUUGUUUUAAGUUUAGGCCAUGGUUGAUUUGGGUUUGGGCCUUUCGGGCCUGUUGUAAAUGAACUGGACCCUUUUUAGC